rnacentral:lncRNA from 1 species
AGCCUCAAAACGGCGUCGGAGGCGUAGGCGGCGAGCAUGGCGCGCCACCGCGGCGGCGGGGCGUUGAGGAAGUCGCGGUCGUGUUGGUGGAGCUCGCAGAGGAGGAGGAGGAGGAGAACGGCGUCGAGGUCCCUGAGUCUCAUGGAGGUCGGCGGCGGGGCGGCGGCGGGGUUCCGUAUGGCGUGGUUGAGGAGGGUGAGGUUGGAGAGGAGGUGGCGGGCGAUGAGGAGGGACUUUUGGUGGAGGGAGAGGGAUUGGGAGGUGGCGGAGAGUGAGGGUGAAGGAGGGUGGGGUACGAGGAGGAGGGUCACCAGGGCGGCGGAGGUGGCGCCGGAAGAGGGCGGAGAUCGAGUGGGAGAGAGUGAGAGAGAGUGGGGAGAGAGAGAGUGGAGAGAGCCGCCAUGAUUAUGGUUUCUGUGGAGUUCAUGUAAUUUGCCAUCUUACACUUGCAAGCCAUGUGCUCUACUAUCAAAAUUAUGUAAUCAGUUUAUGUUAAGGAAAAAUAAAGGGUGUUUGACUAUAACGAGNUUUCAAUCGCAAUCAUAUUACACUAUUAUUAACAUCUUUAUGAUUACACGUUUUAAACAUUCAUAUAAUUAUUUAAUAGUGUUAAGAGUUUAAGAAAAUUGCAAAAUCGUGCAACAAUCCAUUUUGAGCUAUUACACAAUUUCAACCCAAAAAUAAGUUCAUGAACUUGCGUAAAUCAUGUAAGAUAUAACUACUGGAGGUUAUUUGUAAUUUUAUACAAAAAAUAACUAAAAUUUAACAUAUUCUUAUAAGGGCUUGUUUACUAAGAGUGUUUAGGAUGUAUAAUUUACUUGUGACAUCCUAAUAUUAUGUUUGCUUCAAAAUAUGAGGCACUUUAUACAGUAAUAAGGGCUCGAUAUGUGUUAUAUAGAUGAUUGAGAUUAUAUAUACCAUCCUCAUAGUAGAAUACAUAAUACAAAUUCUAAUUAUAUUAUUUACUAUUUCCUCCGUUCCGCCGAGCUUGAGGCGUUUCUUUUGGGCACGGGAAUUAAGAAGUUGUAAAUUAGUGUUUUAAGUGUGUAGUAUAAAAGUGAUAAAGUUGGAGAGAAAAUGUAAUAAAGUGAAAAAAUAAGAGAGAGAAAGUAAUAAAGUGAUAAAGUAAGAGAGAAGGUAAUAAGGGUGCAAUUAGUUUUGUAAAUUAGUACUUUAAAUUGCCUAAUUUUUGUCAAAAAAUGAAAUGACUCAAACUGGGCGGGACAGCCUGAAAAAGAAUAUGGCUCAAGCUCGGUGGGACGGAGGGAGCACCUUCUUAUACUAGUAUAAAUUAUGUUUAAUUGCAUAUAAAUUAUCUUUCAACAAAUUCUCGUUUUACACACGUACUAUAAAAUCUUUAUUAAAAUUAACUAUUAACUAAAAGUGGUCGUGAAUUCAGAUGUUACUAAUUAAUCACAGAAUUGGUAAAGUAUGAGUGAUCAUAUCAUUUCUCCAACCUUAUGAGUGUAAAAAAACAAAUCACAUAUACACCUACAUUGUUUAAUUCUAAUAAUUGCAUUUUACAUCAUCUAUUAUUCCUCUACAUUGAUUUCGCUAUUAAUUUCAUAAGAUCCUAUCACAUAUUAAUAUUUAACCACUGAAAAAGACAAGGAAAAAUCAUGUACUCUCACAAGUACCAUUCUUGACUGAAUCCUACACCACCACCACCACCACCACCACCGAUGACGGCGAGCUCCUCCAACAGGCGGUGGAUCUCGCGGCGGAGAUCGUCGGUGGGGAGGCGGUGGCGGCAACAAGGGCACGUAUUCCUCUUCUUGAGCCAGCGCAGUAUGCAAAUCCAAUGAAACAAAUGGGUGCAUGGCAACUCACACACAUCUCUCCCUUCCUUCAUCUCCUCCUUACAUAUCACACACUCCUCCCCUCCGCUCACCGCCACCGACGGCAGUGCCACCACCGCCGCCGCCGACGCCGCCUCCUCCCUCCCCUCCUUCCCCUCCCCGCAGCCCAUCACGCCCACCAGAUUCCAGCAUCUCCGGGCGGACUCAACGAACUGAAUCAGAGCCUCUCCGUUAGAGCAUCCGCCGAAAUUCGACAGCCUCAAAACGGCGUCGGAGGCGUAGGCGGCGAGCAUGGCGCGCCACCGCGGCGGCGGGGCGUUGAGGAAGUCGCGGUCGUGUUGGUGGAGCUCGCAGAGGAGGAGGAGGAGGAGAACGGCGUCGAGGUCCCUGAGUCUCAUGGAGGUCGGCGGCGGGGCGGCGGCGGGGUUCCGUAUGGCGUGGUUGAGGAGGGUGAGGUUGGAGAGGAGGUGGCGGGCGAUGAGGAGGGACUUU